CGGCGAACGGGUGAGUAACACGUGGGCAAUCUGACCUGGAGUGGGGAAUAACUCGGGGAAACUCGAGCUAAUACCGCAUACCUUCCUGGGAUCUCGAUCCCUUGAAGAAAGGUGGCUUCGGCUGCCGCUCCUGGAGGGGCCCGCGUCCGAUUAGCUUGUUGGUGAGGUAAUGGCUCACCAAGGCAACGAUCGGUAGCCGGCCUGAGAGGGCGAUCGGCCACAAUGAAACUGAGACACGGUCCAUACUCCUACGGGAGGCAGCAGUAGGGAAUAUUGCGCAAUGGGGGAAACCCUGACGCAGCAACGCCGCGUGAAGGAUGAAGGCCUUCGGGUCGUAAACUUCUGUCAGGUGGGAAGAAGGUCUCGUCGGUUAAGAGCUAGUGAGACUUGACGGUACCACCAGAGGAAGCCCCGGCUAACUCCGUGCCAGCAGCCGCGGUAAU
rnacentral:rRNA from 1 species